UUAAGUGGACCUGUCCUUCUUCUACAAGUUUAAUUCUAGCUCAAUAUAUAGUUCAUUUUUAGUGUAUAUAGAAUUACAAAAUAAAUUUUUUUAAUAUAUCUAGUACAAAAUUUUCCAAAAGAAACUAACUUUCAGGAGUAAUCAAAUGAUCCAUUAGGUGCCAGCAUUCGCGGUUACACCUAUAUUUGUUAUAUUAUACGUGGUUUAGAGCAGUCUUAUACACAACAAAAAUACUAGAGGUAAAAUUCUACUUAUUUUUGAUAUAAAUUACCAUAUCUUAAAAAUUAAACAAUAAACAGGGAUUAGAGACCCCUCUAUAUAAAAUAUAUAACAACCCAGGGUAGUAACCGUUACACUCACCAAACCCAAAGAAUUUGGCGGCAGUUAACCUUUCCAGAGAGACCUGUGUAUUAAUUUGACAAUCCACCUUAAAUCUUACUUUUAUUAAAAUUUGCAUACCGUCAUCUAAAUAUUGCCAUGAGGCAAACAUUAUCCAGAAAAACAAUUAUGUUAGAUCAACGCGCAGUAAAUAUAAAAGCUUUCCAUGGGUCUCAAUUUAUAUUAAGUAGUUGUAAUUUUAAAUUAAUUACUAAAAGAGGAUUUGGAUGUAAUAAAAUUUUAAAAUAAUUUUAUGAUUAAGCCAUUUACUGUGUACAUAUCGCCCGUCGCCCUCGACACGAGGUAAGUCGUAACAUAGUAGAAGUACUAGAAAGUGUUUCUUUACUUAU
rnacentral:rRNA from 1 species